rnacentral:rRNA from 1 species
UACGAAGGGGGCUAGCGUUGCUCGGAAUCACUGGGCGUAAAGGGUGCGUAGGCGGGUUUUUAAGUCAGAGGUGAAAUCCUGGAGCUCAACUCCAGAACUGCCUUUGAUACUGGGAAUCUUGAGUAUGGAAGAGGUGAGUGGAACUGCGAGUGUAGAGGUGAAAUUCGUAGAUAUUCGCAAGAACACCAGUGGCGAAGGCGGCUCACUGGUCCAUAACUGACGCUGGGGCACGAAAGCGUGGGGAGCAAACAGG